rnacentral:rRNA from 1 species
CACGUAGGGCGCAAGCGUUGUCCGGAAUUAUUGGGCGUAAAGAGCUCGUAGGCGGUCUGUUGCGUCCGCUGUGAAAGUCGGGGGGCUUCAACCCUCGAAUGCCGGUGGAUACUGUCGGGCUAGAGUGCGGAAGAGGCGAGUGGAAUUCCUGGUGUAGCGGUGAAAUGCGUAGAUAUCUGGAGGAACACCGGUGGCGAAGGCGG